GACGAACGCUGGCGGCGUGCCUAAUACAUGCAAGUAGAACGCUGAAGGAGGAGCUUGCUUCUCUGGAUGAGUUGCGAACGGGUGAGUAACGCGUAGGUAACCUGCCUGGCAGCGGGGGAUAACUAUUGGAAACGAUAGCUAAUACCGCAUAAUAUUGACUAUUGCAUGAUAGUCAGUUGAAAGGUGCAACUGCACCACUACCAGAUGGACCUGCGUUGUAUUAGCUAGUUGGGGGGGUAACGGCUCACCAAGGCGACGAUACAUAGCCGACCUGAGAGGGUGAUCGGCCACACUGGGACUGAGACAAGGCCCAGACUCCUACGGGAGGCAGCAGUAGGGAAUCUUCGGCAAUGGACGGAAGGCUGACCGCACAACGCCGCGUGAGUGAAGAAGGGUUUCGGAUCGUAAAGCUCUGUUGUAAGAGAAGAACGAGUGUGAGAGUGGAAAGCUCACACUGUGACGGUAUCUUACCAGAAAGGGACGGCUAACUACGUG
rnacentral:rRNA from 1 species